CAAGGCAUACGGCUCAGUAACGCGUAGUCCACCUAACCUAUGGACGGGAAUAACCUCGGGAAACUGAGAAUAAUGCCCGAUAGAACAUUAUGCCUGGAAUGGUUUAUGUUCCAAAUGAUUUAUCGCCGUAGGAUGGGACUGCGGCCUAUCAGUUUGUCGGUGAGGUAAUGGCCCACCAAGACUAUUACAGGUACGGGCUCUGAGAGGAGUAGCCCGGAGAUGGGUACUGAGACACGGACCCAGGCCCUAUGGGGCGCAGCAGGCGAGAAAACUUUGCAAUGUGCGAAAGCACGACAAGGUUAAUCCGAGUGGUUUCUGCUAAAGAAACCUUUUGUCAGUCCUAGAAACACUGAUGAAUAAGGGGUGGGCAAGUUCUGGUGUCAGCCGCCGCGGUAAAACCAGCACCUCAAGUGGUCAGGAUGAUUAUUGGGCCUAAAGCAUCCGUAGCCGGCUCUGUAAGUUUUCGGUUAAAUCUGUACGCUCAACGUACAGGCUGCCGGGAAUACUGCAGAGCUAGGGAGUGGGAGAGGUAGACGGUACUCGGUAGGAAGGGGUAAAAUCCUUUGAUCUAUUGAUGACCACCUGU
rnacentral:rRNA from 1 species